rnacentral:rRNA from 1 species
UAAGGAAUUUUCCGCAAUGGGCGAAAGCCUGACGGAGCGACACCGCGUGGAGGACGAAGGCUUUCGGGUCGUAAACUCCUUUUUUAUGGGAUGAACAAUCGGACAGUACCAUAAGAAUAAGUACCGGCUAACUACGUGCCAGCAGCCGCGGUAAUACGUAGGGUACGAGCGUUAUCCGGAUUAACUGGGCUUAGAGCGCGUGUAGGUGGUUUGAUAAGUUCAUAAUGAAAUCCCAUAGCUCAACUAUGGACACGUUAUGAAUACUGUCUCACUAGAGGGUAGACGGGGAAAGUGGAAUUCCCGGUGUAGAGGUAAAAUUCGUUGAUAUCGGGAGGAACACCAGAGGCGAAAGCGACUUUCUAGACUACCCCUGACACUGAGACGCGAAAGCUGGGGGAGCGAAAGGG